UACGUAGGUGGCAAGCGUUGUCCGGAUUUAUUGGGUUUAAAGGGUGCGUAGGCGGUCCUAUAAGUCAGUGCUGAAAUAUCCCGGCUUAACCGGGAGGGUGGCAUUGAUACUGCUGUGACUUGAGUUCGGUAGGGGAGCAGGGAAUUCCUAGUGUAGCGGUGAAAUGCGCAGAUAUUAGGAGGAACACCGGUGGCGAAGGCGCUGCUCUGGGCCGAAACUGACGCUGAGGAGCGAAAGCGUGGGUAGCAAACAGG
rnacentral:rRNA from 1 species